rnacentral:rRNA from 3 species
AAAGAAACCAACAGGGAUUGCCCCAGUAACGGCGAGUGAAGCGGCAAGAGCUCAAAUUUGAAAGCUGGCUCCUUCGGGGUCCGCAUUGUAAUUUGCAGAGGAUGCUUCGGGAGCGGUCCCCAUCUAAGUGCCCUGGAACGGGACGUCAUAGAGGGUGAGAAUCCCGUAUGGGAUGGGGUGUCCGCGCCCGUGUGAAGCUCCUUCGACGAGUCGAGUUGUUUGGGAAUGCAGCUCUAAAUGGGUGGUAAAUUUCAUCUAAAGCUAAAUAUUGGCCGGAGACCGAUAGCGCACAAGUAGAGUGAUCGAAAGAUGAAAAGCACUUUGAAAAGAGAGUUAAAAAGCACGUGAAAUUGUUGAAAGGGAAGCGCUUGCGACCAGACUCGCUCGCGGGGUUCAGCCGGCAUUCGUGCCGGUGUAUUUCCCCGCGGGCGGGCCAGCGUCGGUUUGGGCGGUCGGUCAAAGGCCCUCGGAAGGUAACGCCCCUAGGGGCGUCUUAUAGCCGAGGGUGCAAUGCGACCUGCCUAGACCGAGGAACGCGCUUCGGCUCGGACGCUGGCAUAAUGGUCGUAAGCGAC